CCUACGGGUGGCAGCAGUGAGGAAUAUUGGUCAAUGGACGAGAGUCUGAACCAGCCAAGCAGCGUGCAGGAUGACUGCUCUAUGGGUUGUAAACUUCUUUUAUAUGGGAAUAAAAUGCUCUACGUGUACGAUUUUGUAUGUAUCAUAUGAAUAAGGAUCGGCUAACUCCGUGCCAGCAGCCGCGGUAAUACGGAGGAUCCGAGCGUUAUCCGGAUUUAUUGGGUUUAACGGGCGCGUAGGUGGACUGUUAAGUCAGAUGUGAAAUUCUGCGGCUCAACCGCGGAAUUGCAGUUGAUACUGGCAGGCUAGAGUACAGUAGAGGUAGGCGGAAUUCGUGGUGUAGCGGUGAAAUGCUUAGAGAUCACGAAGAACACCGAUGGCGAAGGCAGCUCACUGGACUGCGACUGACGCUGAGGCUCGAAAGUGUGGGGAUCAAACAGGAUUAGAUACCCCUGUAGUC
rnacentral:rRNA from 1 species